CCAGCAGCAGGAUAUGAUCCACCAGCAAGAAGGGACGCCAAUAAGGCGUCCAAUAAGAUAAGUCUUAUAACAUAUAUAGAUGUAUGAUAGUUAAGACUGAGCUAACAGAUGAGAAUCCUAGUCAUUGGCCAAGCAGCUUUGAACCUAAUACAAUUUUAUGUGUCUUCAUUUGGGCCUAACUUGGGCGGGCGGCUGGCGUAAAGCUCACACAUGGCAGGCCUUUGGCAGAAGGAUUUAUCUUAACAGGGAGGGUCCUGGGGGAAGCUGUCCUUUGCUGAGGCAGUGUUCUUCAGAAAUGACCACAGGAAAGCUCAACAGGCUGGUCCUUGGAGAAGGCACAGCUGCCUCAUCUUUGUAUGACCCUUGUGACCUGAGCCCUUUCUGUGGCCUCAUGUCCCCAGGUGUGCCUCACUCUCCCGGGGUCUAUGCUUUGUCCACUAGAAGUCAAACAUGACCUGUGUACAGAUAUUAAGACAACAGAGCCGGCCUGAGCAUAAACGUCUACUGCCAGAGAAAUUUGGCAUCCUGAGAAGAGGUUCCUCAGCCCGCUGCUUCCGUGGAUCCCUGUGUUAAAAUGUGAUGAUGAAGAUAGAAUCAGAACCUGGUAUGGUAUCUGUCAGAUAAAUCAGCGUCCCCCUGCCUGUCCACCCAGAAAAGCUAAGGAAUCAGGAUCUAGCAACUGUCAGUAUCCUGGAAAACAAGAGCAUAUAGACAUUAGCUUUCAUCAAUUCAUAUUCAGUGAGACUCCUCCAGAUCAAAGCCAGUUUUCCCCCAUGGCCUGAAGCUCUUUCUGAUCCUUUCCAAUGGUGCUUUUGAACCAGGUUCUCUCACAGACUGCUGCAUGCAUGAAUUCUGACUCUCACAGGCACACACUUUUAAUAUCUCAGGAGAUACUGUGUUCAAUGCAAAUGUGUGGGACACCAAGCUUCUCCACAUAGGUCAAGGAAUGGGGAAAGACACUGAGGCUCACCCAAAUCCAGCCGAAUAGGCAAGAAUGUAAAGGCUUUGUUUUCAAUGAGUUUAGCAAAAGUAUUCUGCCAAAGUAAUUUAAGUAAUAAUCAUUCAUAAAGAUAUUUGGAAGUUUCCAGCACACAUGACUCUUAAAGAACACAGGGAACCAGCCCCGGGUUUCAAUGAGCAAGUUGUGUCCUGACUUAUGUCCAGCAACAUUAUGGCUCAGUCACGUCUCCUACUCUCCUCCUCCUCCUCAGUCCCCUCUCCCAAACUUCCCUUUCUUUUGGGAGAGGGAGGGAAGACAAUGCCAUCACGACCAUGAAGGAAUUAAAUAAGAUAAUAGCAGAUGCUCCCUCUCCUCCGCCUUCCACCUCCCUUUAAAUGCUCAAGAGAAAGACAGCAAAGGCCCAGGAUCUCCAGGAUCGCUCUUCGCCCAUGCCUUCAUCAUGUCUCCCUGACCAGCUGUGAUCCUCAAGCAGACAGUUACUGCAAAAUUACAAACAAGCAACGGGGAUAGAAUGAUUUGGGAUCUGUUUCAAUACAAUUGACUGCCUGCUGGAACUAGACAUGUAGGCAUGCUCAGACUGUGUCCAUGAGCAAGAUGGAGAUGUCACAGGAUGUGGGAAGGUUGCCCUUCAAGGUUGGGGAUUCUUUCUUUCAUGUUUCCUUGCCCUUCCCUCCCCUUCCCUCCCCUCCCCUCCCCUCCCC
rnacentral:lncRNA from 1 species